GUUCGCUGCGAGCCUGUCACCUGCGUGGGUGCCCACACUGCUCGAGGGCCUGAGGUCCGGAAGGGGGCGGGGCCCACAUUCUCUUUCGCUGGCCCAUCUUCCAGUACUGUAAAAUGCGAGUGUAGCUGAGUCAGAGAAACAAGAAAGGCCAAAGAUGGUAUGAACACACUUGGCAUUUGGGAAUGGUCUAGCAUCCUGUGCUGAUUUCUGAGAAGAGCCAUAAAUUACUGCAAUGUGUCAGAUGUCAACUCAAUGUGGAUGAAAUACUUGAACAUCAGCUCUAAAAUGACAAAAUUCCUAGAAGAAAAAAACAACAUAGGAGGUAAAUGCAUCAACAUGGAUCUUUCUGAGUUUGACACUAAAAUCAAAGCCAACAAAAUAUAUAGUUUGACUACAUCAAACUAAAAAGCUUCUGCACAACAAAGGAAAACAUCAAUAAAAUGAAACUCAA